rnacentral:rRNA from 1 species
AGUGAACGCUGGCGGUAGGCCUAACACAUGCAAGUCGAACGGCAGCACAGUAAGAGCUUGCUCUUACGGGUGGCGAGUGGCGGACGGGUGAGGAAUACAUCGGAAUCUACUUUUUCGUGGGGGAUAACGUAGGGAAACUUACGCUAAUACCGCAUACGACCUACGGGUGAAAGCAGUGGAUCUUCGGACCUUGCGCGAUUGAAUGAGCCGAUGUCGGAUUAGCUAGUUGGCGGGGUAAAGGCCCACCAAGGCGACGAUCCGUAGCUGGUCUGAGAGGAUGAUCAGCCACACUGGAACUGAGACACGGUCCAGACUCCUACGGGAGGCAGCAGUGGGGAAUAUUGGACAAUGGGCGCAAGCCUGAUCCAGCCAUACCGCGUGGGUGAAGAAGGCCUUCGGGUUGUAAAGCCCUUUUGUUGGGAAAGAAAAGCAGCAGGUUAAUACCCCGCUGUUCUGACGGUACCCAAAGAGUAAGCACCGGCUAACUUCGUG